CAGGGAGUAGUUUAAUUUAGUAAUGUCAGCUUUGGGAGUUGAAGGUGGAA
rnacentral:tRNA from 1 species